rnacentral:SRP_RNA from 1 species
CCGCGCUAACCGGGGAGACAGCGGUGCCCUGUACCUGCAACCCGCUACAGCAGGGGUGAAUCCCGGCCCUCGGAGGUAGGAUGUGCCGUCUGCCCCAUAUAAGCAGCGAUGAUGGAUCGGUCCCGCGCAACGCGGCCCCGUGAACCGUGUCAGGCGGGGAACCGAGCAGCACUAAGCGGAUCGCCGAGUGUGCCGCGGGGCUGCCGAUCCUGAGCCGGCUGUAUGGGUAACGGGUGUAUCCUGUCUACAAAGGCCGGUGCGCGG